UCUCGCGAGAUAAUGUCACGCGUUCUUCCGGAAGUUCACAUUCAAACAGGAGGAGCGGUUACGAGGGAGUUUUGUCUAUAUAUCAUUCAAAAUCUACUGUUGGGAAAAGCAGAACCUCAUCCAAAUAAAAAUAAACAAGCUGUUAAAGGCACUGUGUCCUACACAGACCCUCCAAAAUAUAACCACCCAAAACCCAAGUCAGUUGAAGAUCAACACAAACCAAAUGAAGAUGCACAUUCUACAAACAAUAAAAAAAGAUCAAGUUUUGUGUCCAACACACUUGGAUGAGACGUGCCCGACCCCUGACUUUGUCUACCCUACAUUAAGUUGCACACUUCAUGACAGUAAACAUCUGUAUCAAGAUGGUGUGAUUGAUCUAUACCCUAGAAUAAGCUGUGACACUAUGAGACGGUCACAUAAUGAACAGCCAUCUUACAGACACCCGAAAGAGGCAUAGUAUUGUUUUCUUGUGUAUUGUCAUACACCUAAAGAGGAUUUUUUUAAAUCAUACAAUUAUGGUGUUAUUCAUUCAUUAAUGAGUUCUUUCUUAUCUUAAAUAACUUUUCAUUUUUCACUUCUUUUAUUUUUAAUGUCUAUAUAGUAUUCUCUACAAUCCCAAAUUCUGGAUUGACGCCCCAGUACCAGAGGGCACGCCAAUCCCAGAGAGCAUCCAUCUGAAAGCAGGUGAGGUAACACAAGAAAAACUAACAGGAUGGAGACUACCUGAUUCUUCACCUAUGGCCUCAGCUUCAAAUGCAAGAAGUAAGAAAUGCUAUAUGACUGUGUAUUUUG